rnacentral:rRNA from 1 species
AUGAAGCCUGGCAUGGAUGUUACCUUUGGUCCCACUGGCCUGACCACCGAGGUGAGCUCCCUUGAAAUGCAUCACGAGGCUGUCCAGGAGGCCCUUCCUGGUGAUCUUGUUGGCUUCAAUGUCAAGAAUGUAGCUGCCAUGGAUCUGAAGCGUGGGUAUGUGGCAUCAAAUGCCAAAGAUGACCCUGCCAAGGAGGCUAGGAGCUUCACUUCGCAGAUUAUAGUGCUGAACGACACCGGAGUUAUCAGGAAUGGGUACACACCUGUGCUGGACUGCCACACCUCCCACAUAGCUGUGAAGUUUGCUCAGUUGGUGACAAAGAUUGACAGGCGAUCUGGCAAGGAGGUUGAGAAAGAGCCCAAGUUUCUUAAAAAGGGUGAUGCUGGGAUUGUGAAUAUGAUUCCCACCAAGCUUAUGGUAGUGGAGACCUUCACCAACUACCCUCCUCUAGGCCGUUUUGUUGUUCGUGAUAUGAAGCAAACGGUCGUUGUUGGAGUUGUCAGGAGUGUCGUGAAGAUGGAGCCUGUGCCACCUCCAUUGUCAGCGGCUGAGGACAAUCAGCCUCUGCUGCCUCAAUUGGCAAAGGCUAGGGACAUCACUGUUGCUAGGGAGGAUAACUCGUUGCCUCCCGCCACCGAACCUAAUGUGGUGGGGUAUAUUUCGGUCGUGGCCACACCUCUUGGUGGUGGCCCACCGACAUUCAUCACAGUGAAGGGAACAGACACCUACGGUGGCCCGUUUAUGGAGAGUGCAGAAAAGAAACUGAAGAGCAACCGUGAGCUAGUUUUCCUUGUAGGUCCCAGGAAUGAGACUCCGGCCGCAGAUGCGCUUAUGUGCUCGCUGCGUGGCUAUCAAGACAAGGAUACAAACCUGCUGCCCAUGUGGUACUACGAAGCAUAG